UACGUAGGGUGCAAGCGUUGUCCGGAAUUAUUGGGCGUAAAGAGCGUGUAGGCGGCUUUACAGGUCCGUUGUGAAAACUCGAGGCUCAACCUCGAGACGCCGGUGGAAACCGUAAGGCUAGAGUCCGGAAGAGGAGAGUGGAAUUCCUGGUGUAGCGGUGAAAUGCGCAGAUAUCAGGAAGAACACCCGUGGCGAAGGCGGCUCUCUGGGACGGUACUGACGCUGAGACGCGAAAGCGUGGGGAGCGAACAGG
rnacentral:rRNA from 1 species